rnacentral:rRNA from 1 species
UACGUAGGGUGCAAGCGUUGUCCGGAAUUAUUGGGCGUAAAGAGCUCGUAGGCGGUCUGUCGCGUCUGCUGUGAAAACUCAGGGCUUAACCCUGAGCUUGCAGUGGGUACGGGCAGACUAGAGUGGCGGUAGGGGAGACUGGAAUUCCUGGUGUAGCGGUGAAAUGCGCAGAUAUCAGGAGGGAACACCGGUGGCGAAGGCGGGUCUCUGGGCCGUAACUGACGCU